rnacentral:rRNA from 1 species
UACGUAGGGGGCAAGCGUUGUCCGGAAUCAUUGGGCGUAAAGCGCGUGUAGGCGGCUUGGUAAGUCCGUUCUGAAAGCCCGGGGCUCAACCCCGGGAGGCGGAUGGAUACUGCUGAGCUCGAGUCCGGAAGAGGCGAGUGGAAUUCCUGGUGUAGCGGUGAAAUGCGCAGAUAUCAGGAGGAACACCAAUGGCGAAGGCAGCUCGCUGGGACGGUACUGACGCUGAGACGCGAAAGCGUGGGGAGCGAACAGG